AACGAACGCUGGCGGCAGGCCUAACACAUGCAAGUCGAGCGAGGACUUCGGUUCUAGCGGCGGACGGGUGAGUAACGCGUGGGAAUGUGCCCUUCUCUACGGAAUAGCCCUGGGAAACUGGGAGUAAUACCGUAUACGCCCUAUUGGGGAAAGAUUUAUCGGAGAAGGAUCAGCCCGCGUUGGAUUAGGUAGUUGGUGGGGUAAUGGCCUACCAAGCCGACGAUCCAUAGCUGGUUUGAGAGGAUGAUCAGCCACACUGGGACUGAGACACGGCCCAGACCCCUACGGGAGGGGGGAGUGGGGAAACUUAGAAAAGGGGGGGAACCCUGAUCCACCCAGGCCGGGGGAGUGAUGAAGGCCUUAGGGUUGUAAAGCCCUUUCCGCUGGGAAGAUAAUGACGGUACCAGCAAAAAAAGCCCCGGCUAACUCCGU
rnacentral:rRNA from 1 species